GAAAAACACAGAAUGAUCCAGAGAAAAAAACAAAACUCAGAAAGAGCAGUUAAAUGGAAUGAAGCUUCCCUGGGAAAACAUUCUGGAUAAAUGAAAGCAUGGGACUUACCAGAAAACCAGGCAAGGCCAUACAAAAAACACCAAGCCAAACACUACCUCAAGGAGAGUUUUACAGGUGACUGAGGAUAACAAAAUUCUGAAAAUACGCCUGGUAUUGAACUGAACAAGAAGGGCAUUUUUCAAUCAGCCCAAGCCAAUGUGGAAUUCAUUCACUUCUCU